CCUUUGGGGAACGCACUUAGAACCGAAGAGUCGCGCUGUAGCUAGGAUGGACGUGCUCGUGAGAAGACGGUCGCUCGACAAGUGCUGUUGUACCGGCCGGGGCAAAGAGUGCACUGCUACAUGGAGCCUUAGCGCUCCUUUUUGGACCGCUUCCAGUGCAACUUUUCACUCUUUGGGUACUCACUGAUACCUGGAGUACUUUCGAGAAACAACAUUUUUAUUUAAGGACAGUAGGAAAACAAAAAAGCUUUCGUUCGGAUGCCAAUGAUGCUUAGCCUAUGUGUCAAAGUUUCGCCGAGGUGAAUCAAUCCU